rnacentral:rRNA from 1 species
UGGGGAAUAUUGCACAAUGGGCGAAAGCCUGAUGCAGCAACGCCGCGUGAGGGACGACGGCCUUCGGGUUGUAAACCUCUUUUAGCAAGGAAGAAGCGAAAGUGACGGUACUUGCAGAAAAAGCGCCGGCUAACUACGUGCCAGCAGCCGCGGUAAUACGUAGGGCGCAAGCGUUAUCCGGAAUUAUUGGGGCGUAAAGAGCUCGUAGGCGGUUUGUCGCGUCUGCUGUGAAAACCCGAGGCUCAACCUCGGGCCUGCAGUGGGUACGGGCAGACUAGAGUGCGGUAGGGGAGAUUGGAACUCCUGGUGUAGCGGUGGAAUGCGCAGAUAUCAGGAAGAACACCGAUGGCGAAGGCAGAUCUCUGGGCCGUAACUGACGCUGAGGAGCGAAAGGGUGGGGAGCAAA